AUGGAAAACCAGGACGUCAUGCUGCCUCAAGACGUGCUUGCAGACGUCCUACGUCGUAUUGCACUACGCGACCUUGUCAUAUCCCGCUGUGUCUGCAAGGCCUGGUGCACCAUCAUCGAUGCUCGCCACCUAUUUCCAGCUGACCUCCUUCCACACUGGGUAGGCGGUAUAAUCAUCAAUUUCAACGACUUGAUGUUGUCAGAAUUCUUCUCUCGCCCAUCGACAGGCCCCUUGGUGUCUGGCAACCUCAACUACUUACCUUCCACAUCUGUCGUCAAGGACCAUUGCAAUGGCCUUCUCUUGCUUGAUGGCUACGUGGUUAACCCCGCUACAAGACAGUGGGCGGAGUUGCCACCGUGCCCAUCUCUGGGGCUGGAGUCUUUUGAAGGAGAGCACCUUGUAUUUGACCCAACCAUAUCUCCGCACUAUGAGGUGCUGGUAAUCCCCAUUUCUCCCAAGUUAGACCGUGAUGUCAAAUUGGAUCCCACUGUAGAGGAAUUAGAAUGGCCAGCAUCAUUAUGCAUGCUACAUGUGUUCUCGUCAAGGACAAAACGAUGGGAGGAGAGGCGCUUUGUUCGGGAAGGGGAGGCUGCUGGGACAAUUGCGGACAUGCGAUCGACUCGGCAAUAUUAUCAGAACCGUGCUGUCUACUGGCGAGGAUCACUUUACGUCCAUUUGCCAAGCCACUUUGUUAUGAGGAUAUCAUUGUCAAACAACAAGUAUCAAGUAAUUAAACCACCGAAAGGGAGAAGCACUCUAUUUGGGAAAGAUAUGCUUUAUAUAGGUAAGUCAGAGAAGGGGAUUUAUUGUGCACCUGUGGAUAACCCGGUCCGGGUAUGGAUCCUUGAUGAAUCGUGUGGGCAGUUGGAAUGGGUGUUGAGGCAUAACAUUUCCCUUCACGUUGACACUGACGAAAGCAGCAGACCCUGGACAUUACAGGAUGUUAACUAUUAUGAAGGCUAUGGUGAGGAUGCUAAAGAUGAAGCAAUAGCGCGGCAGAAAUUUGACUGGGAUUCUGACAGUGAUAAUCUUAUUGACCCCAAAAGCAUGGCUGAUGACGAGUCUCCUUGUUAUACUGGUAUACUUGGAUUCCAUCCUUUCAAAGAGGUUGUCUUCCUGUGUGUCGGAUUGCAAAGAGGGCUGGCAUACCAUUUAGAUAGCUCGAAGGUCCAAGAGUUGGGAAACAUAUUUCCCAAAUGUUAUGGCACAUCGAUUGGUAUCCAGCCAUUUAUAAAGGAGUCUUUCAUAUACACUCCUUGCUGGAUGGAAGAGUUUCCAUAG
rnacentral:rRNA from 1 species